GAUGAAGAACGUAGCGAAAUGGGAUACGUAAUGUGAAUUGCAGAUUUCAGUGAAUCAUCGAAUCUUUGAACGCACAUUGCGCCCGCUAGUAUUCUGGCGGGCAUGCCUGUUCGAGCGUCAUUUCAACCAUCAAGCCCUAGGCUUGCGUUGGAGCCCUGCGGCUGCCGCAGGCUCCCAAAUCCAGUGGCGGGCUCGUCGUCGUACCGAGUGCAGUAAACAUCCUCGCUCAGGGAACGUGACGGGUUCUUGCCGUGAAACCCCCCACAUAUCAAGGUUGACCUCGGAUCAGGUAGGAAUACCCGCUGAACUUAAGCAUAUCAAUAAGCGGAGGA
rnacentral:misc_RNA from 1 species